rnacentral:rRNA from 1 species
GCCCUUAGAGUUUGAUCCUGGCUCAGGAUGAACGCUGGCGGUAUGCUUUACACAUGCAAGUCGUACGAGAGUUUUUAACUCAAGUGGCGGACGGGUGAGUAACACGUAAGAAUUUGCCUUUAGGAGGGGGAUAACAACUGGAAACGGUUGCUAAUACCCCAUAUGCUUUCGAGUAAAAUGGAUUUUCCGCCUAAAGAGAAGCUUGCGGCUGAUUAGCUUAUUGGUGAGGUAAUGGCUCACCAAGGCGACGAUCAGUAUCUGGUUUGAGAGGACGAUCAGACACACUGGAACUGAGACACGGUCCAGACUCCUACGGGAGGCAGCAGUGGGGAAUUUUCCGCAAUGGGCGAAAGCCUGACGGAGCAAUACCGCGUGAGGGAUGACGGCCUAUGGGUUGUAAACCUCUUUUUUCAGGGAGGAAUCAAUGACGUGUACCUGAAGAAUAAGCAUCGGCUAACUCCGUGCCAGCAGCCGCGGUAAGACGGAGGAUGCAAGUGUUAUCCGGAAUCACUGGGCGUAAAGCGUCUGUAGGUGGUCAAAUAAGUCAACUGUUAAAUCUUGAGGCUCAACCUCAAAAUCGCAGUCGAAACUAUUCGACUAGAGUAUAGUAGGGGUAAAGGGAAUUUCCAGUGGAGCGGUGAAAUGCGUAGAGAUUGGAAAGAACACCGAUGGCGAAGGCACUUUAGUGGGCUAUUACUCGCACUGAGAGACGAAAGCUAGGGUAGCAAAUGGGAUUAGAUACCCCAGUAGUCCUAGCCGUAACCAAUGGAUACUAGAUGUUGAACAGAUCGACCUGUGCAGUAUCAAAGCUAACGCGUUAAGUAUCCCGCCUGGGAAGUAUGCUCGCAAGAGUGAAACUCAAAUGAAUUGACGGGGAAGGGC